rnacentral:lncRNA from 1 species
AAGUGUACAAACAAAUAACUCCGGUAUUUGUUUGGUAGACUUAGAUUUUUGUGUUUGUGUUUUGCUUAAAGUGGGACAUGCCUAUCACUCAGCAUACCCAAACCACCUAGUUGUAAGACAAGAUUUACAUUUGUUCCUUAAGUAGUCAGCUCCUGCCAGUGGAUGCAGCAUGAAAACGUGACAAGUCAUGGACUUCAACAGUCGGAAACAUCUCUAAACAGUGUGUCCAGACAUCACUGUAAUAUGUGGACUGUCUACAUCAGAACCACUGGCUUACUUACUAAAAAUGCAAAUUCUAGGCUUGCCCAUGGACUCAAAAGCUGUCUUCUCAGCCCAGCAGAAGAGCCCUCAGCCAUACCAGGGCUAGCCAGCCUUCCAGA